rnacentral:rRNA from 1 species
CCAGCAGCUGCGGUAAUUCCAGCUCCAAUAGCGUAUAUUAAAGUUGUUGCUGUUAAAAAGCUCGUAGUUGGAUUUCUGCCGAGGACGACCGGUCCGCCCACUGGGUGUGCAUCUGGCUCGGCCUGGGCAUCUUCUUGGAGAACGUAUCUGCACUUCACUGUGUGGUGCGGUAUCCAGGACUUUUACUUUGAGUAAAUUAGAGUGUUCAAAGCAGGCGUUCGCCCUGAAUACAUUAGCAUGGAAUAGGACGAUAGGACUCUGGCCUAUUCUGCUGGUCUGUAGGACCGGAGUAAUGAUUAAGAGGGACAGUCGGGGGCAUUCGUAUUUCAUUGUCAGAGGUGAAAUUCUUGGAUUUAUGAAAGACGAACUUCUGCGAAAGCAUUUGCCAAGGAUGUUUUCAUUAAUCAAG